AAAAGUUUUACAGUUUAGAAAAUUCAUUUUAAAUUUAUUUUACAUAUAAAUUUUAGUGUUGUAUUUUAAUUAUUUUAAUAAUAUUUAAAAUUUAACGUAGUAAUUAAUAUUAAAAAUUUAAGAAAUUAAGAUUUAGUAAUAUAAUAUUAUUAAUAACAAAUUUUGUGCCAGCAGUUGCGGUUAUACAAAAAUUAUGAAUGAAUUUUAUAGGUAAUUAAUAAAUAUAUUUAAAAAUAUAUUAAAAAUUUUAAAUUAUUAGGUGAAAUUUUAAUUUAAUUAAAAUUUAUAUUUAAAUUAUGAUUUAAUAAAUUUUAUAAUAAACUAGGAUUAGAUACCCUAUUAUUAAAAUUUAAAUUUAUAAUACUAAAAUAGUAAAUAAUAAUUUAUUGAAACUUAAAUAAGUUGGCGGUAUUUUAGUUCAUUUAGAGGAAUCUGUUUAAUAAUUGAUAAUCCACGAAUAAAUUUACUUAAUUUAUUAUUUUGUAUAUCGUUGUUAAAAAAAUAUUUUUUAAUAAAAAUAAUAUUUUAAUUUUUUUAUAUAAAGUUAAAUCAGAUCAAGAUGCAGAUUAUAAUUAAGAAUAUAAUGGAUUACAAUAAAUUAAUUUAUAUGAAUAUUAAUUUUUAAAAAUUAAUUGAAGGUGGAUUUAAAUGUAAUUUUAUUUAAUUUAAUAAAAUGAUUGAAAAUUAAAAUAUGUACAUAUUGCCCGUCGCUUUCAUAUGAAAUGUUAAAAUAAUAAUAAAAUUGGAAUAAGUCGUAACAAAGUAGAGGUACUGGAAAGUGUUUCUAGAAAGAC
rnacentral:rRNA from 1 species